rnacentral:rRNA from 1 species
GAUGAACGCUGGCGGCGUGCCUAAUACAUGCAAGUCGAGCGAACAGACGAGGAGCUUGCUCCUCUGACGUUAGCGGCGGACGGGUGAGUAACACGUGGAUAACCUACCUAUAAGACUGGGAUAACUUCGGGAAACCGGAGCUAAUACCGGAUAAUAUAUUGAACCGCAUGGUUCAAUAGUGAAAGACGGUUUUGCUGUCACUUAUAGAUGGAUCCGCGCCGCAUUAGCUAGUUGGUAAGGUAACGGCUUACCAAGGCAACGAUGCGUAGCCGACCUGAGGGGUGAUCGGCCACACUGGAACUGAGACACGGUCCAGACUCCUACGGGAGGCAGCAGUAGGGAAUCUUCCGCAAUGGGCGAAAGCCUGACGGAGCAACGCCGCGUGAGUGAUGAAGGUCUUCGGAUCGUAAAACUCUGUUAUUAGGGAAGAACAAAUGUGUAAGUAACUAUGCACGUCUUGACGGUACCUAAUCAGAAAGCCACGGCUAACUACGUG